CCCUUAGAUGUCCUGGGCCGCACGCGCGCUACACUGAGUGUCUGAGAUACGAGUCUGCCUGGUCCGGCAAGGUCUAGGAAAUCGCUAAAAGACACAUCAUGCUUGGGAUAGAUUAUUGCAAAUAUUAAUCUUGAACGAGGAAUUCCUAGUAAGCGCAAGUCAACAGCUUGCGUUGAUUACGUCCCUGCCCUUUGUACACACCGCCCGUCGCUACUACUGAUUGGAUGUUUAAGCGAGGUUCUCGAACUGCUAGCGACUUAGCUUCGGUGAGGUCGCAGUGUGGGAAGUGAACCUAGCUUUGGUGUCUAGAGGAAGUAAAAGUCGUAACA
rnacentral:rRNA from 1 species